GCAAAAUAAGUGUUCUGCAGCAGCCCAUCCCCAUCCCUGCAAACUCGUGAUUCAGACAAGCUCACUUCACGGGGCAGAUGGUAACUUUACAAACAGACAUGGCCACAAGCAGUGGAAAUGGCAGAGGAAAGAAGACAUUAUUUCAUAUUGAGGAGGGAAAGACAAACACACACACACCCUCCUCUGCCUGCUCCUUUCCUGGCAAGAACCCAGGUGAGUUGUGUAAACGAACAGCAAAAGCAUUCCUGGUCUUCAGAGAUCUCUGGAAGGAAUCCAGAGCUACACUCUUCUGUCUUGGCUCUCCCCGUUUUCUUGGUGUAAACUUAUGUAUUAACUACCUGACCGCCUUCUUGGAUUUCUGCAUGUCCUUUCUCAUUUUUUUUGCUUCUUCUGUCCACCCUGAUUGAUCGAGACCCAGAAGGAAAUAGAAUAAUAACAUCCCACUGACUCCCAGAUGACAGUCAAAGCCUUAGAGAAGAUGAAGGAAAAAAAAAAAAAAGUACUUGUCACACUCUCAUUAAUGGCAGAUGAGUUCAUCUUGACUAUGGCUGUGCAUCAUUCAAAAGCACCUUUGGCAGCAAUAAGCUCAUCAGAAACAAUUCACCAGCUCAUCGAUACUCAGCACUCCAAAACAAGUCUUCCCGAAGAGUUUUGCAGGCAUCCUUCCCAAGCCCUGGAGAACCACACCCAGAAAAUAAGCUAGUUUGUCAGCUAUGCUGAGUAUUUCAGAGCAGAUUUCAAAACAAAGCACAGAUCCCAGACCAACUGCUCCACACAGAUUGCUCUUCACAGCCUGAACACCAGCCAUGCGGAGCCACAGCUGCAUCGAGGCUUGCCUUUCUACUGGUCGCAUCAGGUCCUGCAGCUGCUGAUGCUUGCAGUGAUUACACCGAGUGAAGAGGAGUAAUCCAUUACCUUUAUCACAACACUUUUGAUCAUGACAGACAGAAGCACUCUAAACAUAGUACAUGAUUUAUUUGCAGCGCUUUCUAAUUUAGCCACUGAGACAAGUUAGUUACUGAGACUGAAUAUCAAGGAUAUCUCACAGUGAUUAGGUCAGCCUAGAGAAAGCAAUUUUAAUUUCAAGAUUGUAAGGCUUUUUGAGGAAAAAAAAAAAAAUCAGUGACAAUUAAGUCUCUGCUCACUAUUUUGCUAUUCUUCCUGGAUGUCAGGAGAGCACUGCCAAUAUAUGAUCACAUCAGGGGCUCUCAUUGCCUAGUACUGCUGUGUUCCUACCUACCCAGACAGAACAAUUAAAGAGUCAUUCAUGUAUAAUCACCUAAUUCAUAACUAAUGGCUUGCAGGUUUGCUGGGAACACUUUUAUUUGUUUCUCCAGUUCUCACGGGGAAAUGGCAAUUUUUGAGAGAGAGAGGCGACUGCAUGUAUGGGUUCAGAAUAUACGUGUCACUGAUGCAUGAAGUAUUUUCCGUGAAUUCUUCCUUCAAAAUGUGACUCCUUCAGUCCUGAAAUCCCCAGAGAUCCCUUGCUAGUCCCUUCUUUAAAACUUGCAUGGUGGUAUUUACAACGUAUAUUUGCCACAUACAGAUAUAUAAAUAUAUAUAAUGUGUAUGCAAAUGUUAGUGCAUCUGAAAAUUUUAGCCCAAAUCUGAGCUCUUAAAGGUAACUUCAAACUAAGGCUAAAUGCCAAGCAAUGUUUGAAGCAUGACAUGUUACAUGUUUAUAAACCCCUUAGGUUCUCUCAGAAAUUUCAUCUGCUGUCUAAAGAUUUGGCUUGGGCUUUAUCAGAUUUCAGCAGUUAUAACUCAAUACCAUAAAAAUGCCAGUAAUUGCUGUGUGUCUAUGAACCUGUGUUAACUAAUCACUACAUGUGCUAUUACAUCAGUCUAUUCUACUGUGAAAUGUCUUCUAAUUCUCCCUCAAGGAAUAAAAGAAAAAAAAAAAAAAAGAGAGAGAGAGGGAAAAGACAAGAGCCCUUUCUUCAAAUAUAGUGGGAAUAUACUGAGUAAAUAUGCAGUCAAUAACACCACAUGGCAGUUUUAUCAAUGACUUCUUUUGUGCUAGUAAGAUUUUUUUCAGUUUUGUUUUAAAGACAAUUUCUCUACUUUUGCAUUUUUAUUACUUCUUAUUAUUCAAUGUAUUGCAAAAUUUUGUGACUAUGACACUGAGGCUGAUCUUCAGACCAUCCCUUAAAUAACUGCACAUGACUUUUGGGACCUCAGUGCAAAUACUUAGUGGAGUGGAGUAAAUUUCCAAUUUACUUUGGAAGUCAUUGCAAUAAAGCACAAAAUAGGAUUUAUUAUUAUUUUUUAUUACUAUUAUAGGAGGCCAACGUUUUAAUUUGCCAGCAGUUUCAUUUGACUUUAUUUAAAUGUCCAUUCUCCAUAAAAUACUAAUAUCUAAUGCUGAAACACACACGUAGUACAUACAAACACAAGGGCAGGCACUCUCUUUCUCUGAAAUACCUAAAGCCUAAAACAGGUUAUCUGAAUGCAAGAGCAAAGUUGCUUAUUAGCUCAUUAGUCCAGAUCACUCUUCCAUAUAAGAGGAAGGUAACCUCGAUCCAAAUAAAAUUAUGCCUCUCCUGUUGUACAAUGCCAUGGAAGAUAUUUUUCUUUAUUCUGCUUCCCAGAAGUGAAGUUUAUGACCCAGAAUUUGAUGUUUGAUAUUGGCCAUAUAAUUUGUCUGCUGUAAAGCUGUUAAUGGUAGCAGAAUGAUCUAAUCCUUUAGAUCAUGCAAACCAUAAGUUUUAUGACAUGCUGUAGCGCUGAAUUUUGCAGAGUUGUUUCCUUUCAUUUGUUUUAAGGAUAUUUGAAUUUCCACUGCAUCUGAGUGUGGCUUUUAUUUUCCGGGAACCUAAAGCAAGACUUUAUCAUCCCUGUUUGCCCUGGUGAAGCAAGCUGAGAGCUAUCAAUAACCAUUCCAGACCUUUGCUUCUGAAGGAAAACUUCCUGGUUUAGAUACCUCAACAGCUGUGAACAGCCUAGAGUUUUCUCCCAUUGCAACUCAAGUCUGCACGUAUGCAAGUUAAACUGUACCUGCAACUUUGUUCACUGAACUAAGUCUUUCUAGAUUUUUUGUGCCCCCCUAAUUUUUCUUGAAGUGGAUAGUGAUAUGCAAUGACAUCAUCUUCAACUCAGUCUGAAAAUCACCAACAAAGAUUACACAAGAGCACGGAUCCCAGCAUGGAUCUCUGCAUGUCACUGUUAGGUCAUCUACAUUUUGAAGAACAGCCAAUACUUAAAACAUUUGAUUCUGUGCCAGUAUUUAAUUAGGGACAGAAGUCUACCUGUCUAGCAUAACAUAAAGUCCCUUUUUCUUACAAAUGUCAUCAAAACCUCUUAAAAAUGUGGAUGAUACAUGCCAGAUCUUUGCUUUUGAAUAUUUUAAAUGAAGUCUUCAAACAACUUCAAAGACCAGCUGAGGACUUAAAGCAGAAGUGUGUUGUUGGUCAGAUGAUGUAAUUUUGUUUUUCUAAGUUUAUGUUUCCGUUCUGAUUCCUCUGAAAUGCUUGCCCUCUGUGUAGGAUAUUGUGCAUUCACCUGUAAUUCCCCAGGUUACUCUUGGUUCCAUCUUGAAGGUGAGGCUUGUUGGCGACAGUUUUACAGCAACCAGGAAGAACUAUUUUAAGGGAUACAUUGCACGUGUUUGUCAGGAGCUUUCCAGUUUUGGAGCUCAGAUCCCUCACGGCUUGUGAUGAACACCACCUGGUCCUGGCAGUUCACUAGAAUUAAGCUUUGCAUGUUGUUCCAUGAUUUCCUCCCUUGAGAUUUCUCCCCUUCUUAACAGCAUACUAAGGAUGAGGGUUUCCCUUGGGUGAAAUCUCCUUGGGAUGAGAAUUUCAACACUGGACAUCAUUAGCCAAGUUUAAAUGCUUCAGGCAAUUAGCUUUUCUGCAGUCAUAUCAUUUGUCUAUAAACUUCCUUUUCUAUUUGAUCUCUGUACCUAGGGGUCCAAAGAAACAAGUGCAAUCCUUCUGCCUCAGACGUGUUAAUAAUUCUUCUGUGCUAACAGUUUCUGUUUCUGCCUUAAUUAAGAAAACCUCCUUAUGUAUAAGCUUAUAAGUUUGUGUGGAAUUUUACAGUGGGCUUGGAGAUAGGGGAUGCUUUGCAACUGGAUAAACGCAUUGAUACAGCUUGUACAGACACGUGAAAUCUAAAAGAACCAAAAAAGGCCACUACAAUAAAGCUGAUCUAACUCUCUUGCAGCACAAAUGGAGGGUCUCUCUGUUUCCUGAGUUCCCUUCUGAAUCCAUGUUUGGGCUCAUCCAGAAGUCAGCCCCCAGGGUGCUCACUUCCAGCUCACAGGCUUUACCCCUAGGGCAAAGGGGUGGCUUAGAGCAGUGUGGGUAUUAAAGAAGAUAAACACCCCUUAUGCAUUUCCAGCAGCACAGGAAAAGGAAACAGAAAAGGAAAAUGAAAAGGAAAAAGGAAAAAGGAAAAAGGAAAAAGGAAAAAGGAAAAAGGAAAAAGGAAAAAGGAAAAAGGAAAAAGGAAAAAGGAAAAAGGAAAAAGGAAAAAGGAAAAAGGAAAAAGGAAAAAGGAAAAAGGAAAGAAGGAUGCAGAAUCUGAAGAAGGUCAGUGUGGCAAAGAGAGGGACAUAGCUGACCAGUGGCUGCAUAUAAAAGUAUCCUUUUGUUCAAAGAAGAAAAACAUUGAUGGCAAAGCUGGGAAGAAGGAAAAUGGAAGAGGUUAAGAACAAGGACAUUUGCAGUGGGUUAGAAAGACAGAGGCACACUUUGGCCAGAUAGGUCAGCAGGCAAUGUAGCCAGCAAAGUGCUAAUCACACAAAAUAUGCUGCGUCUUUUUCAAAGAUGAGGAAGAUUUGGCUACAGACUCUAGAGGAGGCUUUACCCUAGGUAAAGGAAAUCUGUAGCACUCUUAUUUUCUCCCAGUGAUACGAGCAUGAGCACUCAUGAGCUCCAGUUGGCCCCACUGGGCUUCUGAGUUUCUGAGCAUUGCUACUGUGGAAGCCUGUGAGCAAGGCUUGCUGGCUACCAGGAAAACCAUCUUCUUCCUCUUCUCAAAAGUCAAGUCAGGGGGGGUCACACCAACUUUCUGCAAUGACAAGAAGCUUGCUGCCAAGCCCAGAUGCUCCCCCAAGUGACCUCGUUGAACUCAAAAUGUGACAAAGGGAAUGCUAACUGCCCUGAGCACUGGU
rnacentral:lncRNA from 1 species